UACGUAGGGGGCUAGCGUUAUCCGGAAUUACUGGGCGUAAAGGGUGCGUAGGUGGUUUCUUAAGUCAGAGGUGAAAGGCUACGGCUCAACCGUAGUAAGCCUUUGAAACUGGGAAACUUGAGUGCAGGAGAGGAGAGUGGAAUUCCUAGUGUAGCGGUGAAAUGCGUAGAUAUCGGGAGGAACACCAGUGGCGAAGGCGGCCUCCUGGACCAUUCCUGACACUCAGACGCGAAAGCUAGGGUAGCAAACGGGAUUAGAUACCCGCGUAGUCCCUGAGCGGGCU
rnacentral:rRNA from 1 species